rfam:Archaeon GW2011_AR18 QT09_C0007, whole genome shotgun sequence.
GCACCAGUGGUGUAAUGGUUAGCAUUAGAGCCUUCCAUUAUAGAGAGGUAAGCUCUUGAUCCGGGAGAUGUUAAGUUUAAACUUAAUGUUCGGAUAUUCAAAUCCCGGCUGGUGCA